ACCACCCCCUAUAUUGACUUUAGCUCCACUCUGAUUAUUUACUGAAUUGCUACAAAAUGAAAUCAUCGGGAAAGGAAGAGGCCUUCUCAGAAGAGUCUUCCUCAACCAGCACAGGAUGAAGUUCAGCAGGAAGCUGCUCAGGCUUCAAGGUUCUGCCUGCAACAGGAGGAAAGAGAGCUUUGAGUUUUUGCUGCUCUGGUGUGUGAAGGGUCUUCCCUUAGAACUUAUCCAUGAUAACCCAUUUAAAGUAGAAUGCUGCAAUGGAAGAAAGGACACGUCAAAAAGCAUCUCUAGAGGAAUAAAGAAUACAGUUCAGUCUCUUCACAGCAGAUCUGAGUUGAAGAGUUUUGCUGGGAUGCAAUGUCAAGGAAUAAGAUCUCUUUAAAUCUUCAAGACCCAGAAGUUAUAAGGCUGAAGCCUGUACAGAGAAGAAUUCUGGUGAGGAAUGAGGAUCCCAGUGGAUACUUAUCAGGAACAAUCUCCAGAAGUCAGAUGGAGGAAGUGAUAAAGGGACUUGCUACUCUAGACCUGAUUCUGACCUACCAGAAGAAACUGGUUGCUGAAGUGGAAAUGGAAAGAACCUCAGGAAAAGUUCUGAUCCUCUGGAGUAAUUCUAGCAUGAUGACAAAGUCCUGAUGGACAUAACAUCUGAUGGGGGGUAGUUCUGAACCACCAGUGAUCUCUGCAUGAAAGAGAAGGCUUAGAAAGGGUGGCGGACUGGAAGGAUGGCACAAGCAGACCUGAAGCAUGGUGAAUGAUUGACUGAGCAUGAAGGCACAUGUGAAUGAGUCUGUGUCAUAGGACAUGAAGGGCACGCCUUCAUGAAAGACAGAAGAAAGAGCAAAUUGCCCUCUCUUGACUUGGCAGGAGGUAUUCAUGCAUAGAAGCUUAGAUCUCAGAACUGGAAGAGCCUUUAGACCAGGAGUUCUGAACCUGGGGUCUGGGAGUCUGUGUGUAGAUUUCACAGGGUCCGUGAAUGUGGAUAGGAAAAAAAUGAUAUCUUCAUUGUCAUUAAUACUUCAUAACAUUUAGCUUUUCCUUCAAUUAAUGAACAACAUGAUUCUGAGAAUGGGUUCCAUUUGCUUCAUCAGACUGAUUGUUGAAGCAGGGGAGAAAAGGUUCCUUGGACACAAAAUAUAAAGAACUCCUGUCUUAGAGGGUCUUCUUCUAAGGGUUUUAGAGGGUUUUGAGCAGGGAGACUCCUCUACAAUACAACCAACAAGCAGUCAGUCAGUCUAUCUCUGCUAAAGAUGUCUCUUGUUGAAGAACUCUAUUACUAUCCAGAGGGAGCCAUUCUAUUGGCUUUUGGACUGCUCUAGUUGUUAGGGGCAGCUAGGUAUGGUUUCCUGAUAUGUAAAAUGAAAGAAAUAGUGAACCACUCCAGUGUCUUUGCCAAGAAACCCCCUUCCUAUAAUUUGCCCCUACUUCUCUUGCUUCUGAGGGCCAAGAAGAAGACCAAUCGCUCUUCCCCAGAUGACCCUUCAUACUUGAAUACAAUAAUCAUGUUCUCCCUAAAUCUUCUCUUCUUCAAGCAAAAUGAUCCCAAAUCAUUCAACUGAUCCUUAUAUGACAUAGUUUUGGGGCUUCUCCUCAUCUCCCUCAUCUUACA